rnacentral:rRNA from 1 species
UAGGGAAUCUUCCGCAAUGGGCGAAAGCCUGACGGAGCAACGCCGCGUGAGUGAUGAAGGUCUUCGGAUCGUAAAACUCUGUUAUUAGGGAAGAACAAAUGUGUAAGUAACUAUGCACGUCUUGACGGUACCUAAUCAGAAAGCCACGGCUAACUACGUGCCAGCAGCCGCGGUAAUACGUAGGUGGCAAGCGUUAUCCGGAAUUAUUGGGCGUAAAGCGCGCGUAGGCGGUUUUUUAAGUCUGAUGUGAAAGCCCACGGCUCAACCGUUGAGGGUCAUUUGAAACUGGAAAACUUGAGUGCAGAAGAGGAAAGUUGAAUUCCAUGUGUAGCGGUGAAAUGCGCAGAGAUAUGGAGGAACACCAGUGGCGAAGGCGACUUUCUGGUCUGUAACUGACGCUGAUGUGCGAAAGCGUGGGGAUCAAACAGG